AAAAAAAAUCCCACCCUGCUACACCUUCGAUAAACACGCAGUUCGGAUUCUCCCAUCCAUCUCCCCAUGCGGAUCGAAGUCCCAUCCCCAUCACUACUGCAGGACCAACCAACUCUUCCACACCACUUUUGACGGACGCCCGUUUGGACCACAUGAGUUGGUUUUAUAAGCGGAAUGUGAGAUGAAGAAAUUUGCCAAGACGUUAUCGGACACGGGGGGCAACAGGGAUGCAGAAAGAGUCAUCAGCGUCAGGAAAUAUUCAAAGAAAGAAAAAGAAAACGAUGGAGGAUCAAGCUGCCGCCGUCUAUCACAAACAGGAUCCCGUCCUCGCUCGCUCCCUCGCCACAACUGGAUUUCUUCCCCGCUGUUCCUUCUUUGUCUUCCUCCUCCUGGCUACCCUUCCACUCCUCACCGACACAGAGAUGACAAAUGUAUACCCCCUCGAGCGUCUGAGACGUCCGCUGUCCGUCAAAACACGUCAACUUGACAAACUCGUCGCCGUCCAUCCGUCCGGCCUCGCGCUGGAAUUACUCUGAAUGAAUUUAACAGCAUCAAAAAGAGAACAAAGGAAGAAUGUAAAAUAACGGAGGAGCCCCUCUCCAGCUGAUGAUGAUGAUGAUGAUGAUUAUUUUUUCCUGAAAGUUUGGUUUUAUUUUGUGUUUUUUUUUGUUUAAUUAUUGUUUCAUUCUGUUUGCAUGUAAAGUAACAAGAGUUUUAUUUGAGCGAAUGCGAUGACGAGUGUGCACGUGGGUGUGUGCGUCUCUGUGAGUGGCAACGUCUUUGAAGUACUAUCAGUAAAUGUGUCUGUUUUCAUGCCACUGUGCAGGAGGAGGAGAUAACAGAGUUGUAUAGUUUUUGAUAUUAAAAAAAAACACAAAAAAUACUUUUUUCUUUCUUUUCUUUUUUUUUUUUUUGCUUUUUUGUGUUGUCUAAAAAGAAAAAAAAAAAGGAAAAACUUUGUAAGGUGUGUCGGUCAUGUUGUGCAAACUUUACUCAGCAACAGCAUUUGUUAAAACAACUUUCAUGGAAUCAUGGAAUCAUGGAAUCCGACCAAUUCCUGCUCCGGCUUGUGAAUGGACACAUGGAGACUACAGAGCUGCACAUGACUAACGGUCUCCCCGUGCGUACAAUCGCAUCAAUCUGGAGCUCGGAGCCCGUGACAAGUCGAGGAGGAAACGUUGGCGCCGUCUUCUCCACGUGGAUGUGGGGUGGGAGGGGAGAACAGAUUCUAAAUGACACACCUUUAAAGAAGCAAGUGGCGUGAGGAAUAUGGUGUCUCUGAGGGAGAACUGUUGAUGUUUUUUUUGUUUUUAAAUUUUGUUGUUGCUUUUUUUUUUUUUUUUUUUAAUAUUCAGACCACAACAUACAGUUACAGGUUUAACGAUGGAUAUUUUGCUCAUUUAUCUCUUUAAACUAUACUUAUGUGAAUGUUUUGAACUCGUAAGUGAUGCUUCAUGUAAUACGAAAGAAACACCUCCAUCCUUAAUACAGUUUCCUUUUUUCUUUUUCUUUUUUUUUUUUUUUAGCAGUGUGUUUUCGGAUGUUGGGGUUAUCUGUGGACAAAAGGACCUGUUUGGAAAUAUGCAAGACAUGCUGGGAAAGAGAAUGAAACUAGAAUGUACUGUAAAAUACUUUUUUCCUUUACUUAAAUGUCAGAUGAUUUAAAAAGAAAAAAAACAACAAAAAAAAAAAUCAACAACAAAAAGCAAGAGUUAAUGUUUGUCAUUGUAUGCCUUCCGAUGCCAUAUGAUCUAGCCAUGUAGAUCUAACAUUCUCUCAAUCUUUUUUUUGUACUUGUUUUUUGGGGGGGGGCAUGGUCAUGAUUUUUUUUUUCAGUUUUUUUUCUUUUGCUUUGUUUUUGUUUUGGUCAAUGAACUCUAGGUACAUGUAACUUAUGUCAUUUAUUUAUGUCCUUUUAUAUCUAGUUUGUAAAAUAAUAGCCUAAAGUGAAGAAAAAUAAUGGGGUGCCAAAGUGCAUUCUUAUUAAAGUAGAAAGUACAUGAUGA